rnacentral:rRNA from 1 species
GGGCGGGACACGUGGUAUCCUGUCUGAAUAUGGGGGGACCAUCCUCCAAGGCUAAAUACUCCUGACUGACCGAUAGUGAACCAGUACCGUGAGGGAAAGGCGAAAAGAACCCCGGCGAGGGGAGUGAAACAGAACCUGAAACCGUGUACGUACAAGCAGUGGGAGCCCCACCACUAAGCCAGUGGUGAACUCCACAUACGCAUCCUUUGCUGAGGAUACGGUUAACGGAGCGAAAGCGACGUUUAACCGCAAAAGAAGCAGAGGGGGCUUAGUGGUGGGGUGACUGCGUACCUUUUGUAUAAUGGGUCAGCGACUUAUAUUCUGUAGCAAGGUUAACCGCAUAGGGGAGCCGGAGGGAAACCGAGUCUUAAUUGGGCGUUAAGUUGCAGGGUAUAGACCCGAAACCCGGUGAUCUAGCCAUGGGCAGGUUGAAGGUUGGGUAACACUAACUGGAGGACCGAACCGACUAAUGUUGAAAAAUUAGCGGAUGACCUGUGGCUGGGGGUGAAAGGCCAAUCAAACCGGGAGAUAGCUGGUUCUCCCCGAAAGCUAUUUAGGUAGCGCCUCGUGAAUUCAUCUCCGGGGGUAGAGCACUGUUUCGGCCAGGGGGCCAUCCCGGCUUACCAAUCCGAUGCAAACUGCGAAUACCGGAGAAUGUUAUCACGGGAGACACACGGCGGGUGCUAACGUCCGUCGUGAAGAGGGAAACAACCCAGACCGCCAGCUAAGGUCCCAAAGUCAUGGUUAAGUGGGAAACGAUGUGGGAAGGCCCAGACAGCCAGGAUGUUGGCUUAGAAGCAGCCAUCAUUUAAAGAAAGCGUAAUAGCUCACUGGUCGAGUCGGCCUGCGCGGAAGAUGUAACGGGGCUAAACCAUGCACCGAAGCUGCGGCAGCGAACGUAUCACCCAAGACAACUUUACACAGUUGACGACUGACGGAGCGAAGCGACGUCAAAGCGUUUUACAACGUCGAGUUGGCUUAGGGAUACGUUCGUUGGGUAGGGGAGCGUUCUGUAAGCCGUUGAAGGUGUGUCGUGAGGCAUGCUGGAGGUAUCAGAAGUGCGAAUGCUGACAUAAGUAACGAUAAAGCGGGUGAAAAGCCCGCUCGCCGGAAGACCAAGGGUUCCUGUCCAACGUUAAUCGGGGCAGGGUGAGUCGACCCCUAAGGCGAGGCCGAAAGGCGUAGUCGAUGGGAAACGGGUUAAUAUUCCCGUACUUGGUGUUACUGCGAAGGGGGGACGGAGAAGGCUAUGUUGGCCGGGCGACGGUUGUCCCGGUUUAAGCGUGCAGGUGUGUGUUCCAGGUAAAUCCGGUUCACUUUAACACUGAGGCGUGAUGACGAGGCACCACGGUGCUGAAGCAACAAAUGCCCUGCUUCCAGGAAAAGCCUCUAAGCCUCAGGUAACAUCAAAUCGUACCCCAAACCGACACAGGUGGUCAGGUAGAGAAUACCAAGGCGCUUGAGAGAACUCGGGUGAAGGAACUAGGCAAAAUGGUGCCGUAACUUCGGGAGAAGGCACGCUGACACGUAGGUGAAGUGGUUUACCCAUGGAGCUGAAGUCAGUCGAAGAUACCAGCUGGCUGCAACUGUUUAUUAAAAACACAGCACUGUGCAAACACGAAAGUGGACGUAUACGGUGUGACGCCUGCCCGGUGCCGGAAGGUUAAUUGAUGGGGUCAGCGCAAGCGAAGCUCCUGAUCGAAGCCCCGGUAAACGGCGGCCGUAACUAUAACGGUCCUAAGGUAGCGAAAUUCCUUGUCGGGUAAGUUCCGACCUGCACGAAUGGCGUAAUGAUGGCCAGGCUGUCUCCACCCGGGACUCAGUGAAAUUGAACUCGCUGUGAAGAUGCAGUGUACCCGCGGCAAGACGGAAAGACCCCGUGAACCUUUACUAUAGCUUGACACUGAACACUGGUCCUUGAUGUGCAGGAUAGGUGGGAGGCUUUGAAGUGUGGACGCCAGUCUGCAUGGAGCCAUCCUUGAAAUACCACCCUUUAAUGGCUGGUGUUCUAACGUGGGCCCGUGAACCGGGUUGCGGACAGUGUCUGGUGGGUAGUUUGACUGGGGCGGUCUCCUCCUAAAGAGUAACGGAGGAGCACGAAGGUUGGCUAAUCCUGGUCGGACAUCAGGAGGUUAGUGCAAUGGCAUAAGCCAGCUUGACUGCGAGCGUGACGGCGCGAGCAGGUGCGAAAGCAGGUCAUAGUGAUCCGGUGGUUCUGAAUGGAAGGGCCAUCGCUCAACGGAUAAAAGGUACUCCGGGGAUAACAGGCUGAUACCGCCCAAGAGUUCAUAUCGACGGCGGUGUUUGGCACCUCGAUGUCGGCUCAUCACAUCCUGGGGCUGAAGUAGGUCCCAAGGGUAUGGCUGUUCGCCAUUUAAAGUGGUACGCGAGCUGGGUUUAGAACGUCGUGAGACAGUUCGGUCCCUAUCUGCCGUGGGCGCUGGAAGAUUGAGGGGGGCUGCUCCUAGUACGAGAGGACCGGAGUGGACGCAUCACUGGUGUU